rnacentral:lncRNA from 1 species
CCUUAUCUUGGUUGAAAGAGACCUUUUUUUUUUUGUUUUUUUUACAGUUCGUGACACAUUAAGGCAGGCAGUGUUGAAGACACCUAAAAGGCCGUGGGUAGGACCUAUAUAAAGGCUUGCGUUAGCCACUGGUCUUUCUUUUCGUCGGACUCAGCAGAGACUUCUACUUAUAGUAGAGGAUAGGAAUCAUCUGAUUUCCCAUUUCAAGUUUUCUGAAUAAUUGUUUUAAGUAAAUUCGUUCGUGUUUUAAGGUUUAUUUUGAGCUAUCGGUGCUUAUUGAACACGAUGGAGCUCUUUCACUUGUCUAGCUGUUUGCUAAUGCUAGUAAACACGUGGCUUGGAGGAAAGGGUUGGGGUUAGGAUUUAAUGUGAUUCCAAAGAAUGGAUUGCCAAUAUACCUAGAAAAUGGUAAAGGUGAAGAUACGAUGAUGCCCUAGGAGCUCAGCUGAUCGAGUACAGAUCCCAUUGGAUGCAACGAGUAGAUGGGAGGAGUUGUAACUGCAGCCCAUGGUGUUCUCAUGGACUAUAUAGAGGCUGUUCUGGAUUUUCCAGACCAAAGUAAAUUUUUUGGGCUUCGUAUCUAUUGGAUGGAAUAGGCCAAAGAAAUGCCAACAAGCACAUCUCCAACAUGACCCAGGACGGGUGCUGAGCUCAUCAAGCAUUGUUGCUUAUAGGAGAUCUGCUUCACUGAAAGAUGAUUUUUCAACAGAUAUGUGGAUGUAAAUAAAUAAAACGUUUAUUCUGUCU